rnacentral:rRNA from 1 species
UACGAGUGGUGCAAGCAUUAUUCGGAAUCAUUGGGCGUAAAGGGUGCGUAGGUUGUACAUUAAGUCUGUUGUUAAAUUUCUCGGCCUAACCGGGAACCUGCAGUGGAAACUAGUGUGCUAGAGGAUGGAAGAGAGAAGUGGAAUUCUCGGAGUAGCGGUAAAAUGCGUAGAUCUCGAGAGGAACACCGAUGGCGAAAGCAGCUUCUUGGUCCAAUCCUGACACUGAUGCACGAAAGCGUGGGGAGCAAACAGG